rnacentral:rRNA from 1 species
GAUGAACGCUGGCGGCGUGCCUAAUACAUGCAAGUCGAGCGAACAGAUGAGAAGCUUGCUUCUCUGAUGUUAGCGGCGGACGGGUGAGUAACACGUGGGUAACCUACCUAUGAGACUGGGAUAACUCCGGGAAACCGGGGCUAAUACCGGAUAAUAUUUUGAACCGCAUGGUUCAAUAGUGAAAGACGGUUUCGGCUGUCACUUAGAGUAGGACCCGGGCCGUAUUAGCUAGUUGGUAAGGUAACGGCUUACCAAGGCGACGAUACGUAGCCGACCUGAGAGGGUGAUCGGCCACACUGGAACUGAGACAAGGUCCAGACUCCUACGGGAGGCAGCAGUAGGGAAUCUUCCGCAAUGGGCGAAAGCCUGACGGAGCAACGCCGCGUGAGUGAUGAAGGUCUUCGGAUCGUAAAACUCUGUUGUUAGGGAAGAACAAAUUUGUUAGUAACUGAACAAGUCUUGACGGUACCUAACCAGAAAGCCACGGCUAACUACGUGCCAGCAGCCGCUGUAA